GAGUUUGAUCCUGGCUCAGAUUGAACGCUGGCGGCAGGCCUAACACAUGCAAGUCGAGCGGAUGACGGGAGCUUGCUCCUUGAUUCAGCGGCGGACGGGUGAGUAAUGCCUAGGAAUCUGCCUGGUAGUGGGGGACAACGUUUCGAAAGGAACGCUAAUACCGCAUACGUCCUACGGGAGAAAGCAGGGGACCUUCGGGCCUUGCGCUAUCAGAUGAGCCUAGGUCGGAUUAGCUAGUUGGUGGGGUAAUGGCUCACCAAGGCGACGAUCCGUAACUGGUCUGAGAGGAUGAUCAGUCACACUGGAACUGAGACACGGUCCAGACUCCUACGGGAGGCAGCAGUGGGGAAUAUUGGACAAUGGGCGAAAGCCUGAUCCAGCCAUGCCGCGUGUGUGAAGAAGGUCUUCGGAUUGUAAAGCACUUUAAGUUGGGAGGAAGGGCAGUAAGUUAAUACCUUGCUGUUUUGACGUUACCGACAGAAUAAGCAACCGGCUAACUCUGUGCCAGCCGCCG
rnacentral:rRNA from 1 species